AUCGGGAAGAACACCAGUGGCGAAGGCGCUCUGCUGGGCCAUCACUGACGCUCAUGGACGAAAGCCAGGGGAGCGAAAGGGAUUAGAUACCCCUGUAGUCCUGGCCGUAAACGAUGAACACUAGGUGUCGGGGGAAUCGACCCCCUCGGUGUCGUAGCCAACGCGUUAAGUGUUCCGCCUGGGGAGUACGCACGCAAGUGUGAAACUCAAAGGAAUUGACGGGGGCCCGCACAAGCGGUGGAGUAUGUGGUUUAAUUCGAUGCAACGCGAAGAACCUUACCAGGGUUUGACAUCCUGCGAAUCCCUAGGAAACUUGGGAGUGCCUUCGGGAACGCAGAGACAGGUGGUGCAUGGCUGUCGUCAGCUCGUGUCGUGAGAUGUUGGGUUAAGUCCCGCAACGAGCGCAACCCACGUCUUUAGUUGCCAGCAUUGAGUUGGGCACUCUAGAGAGACCGCCGGUGAUAAACCGGAGGAAGGUGUGGAUGACGUCAAGUCAUCAUGCCCCUUACAUCCUGGGCUACACACGUACUACAAUGCUACGGACAGAGGGCAGCAAACUCGCGAGAGCUAGCAAAUCCCAUAAACCGUGGCUCAGUUCAGAUCGUAGGCUGCAACUCGCCUACGUGAAGGAGGAAUCGCUAGUAAUCGCAGGUCAGCAUACUGCGGUGAAUACGUUCCCGGGCCUUGUACACACCGCCCA
rnacentral:rRNA from 1 species